UGUCUUGUAGUUCAGUUGGUAGAACACCGCACUGUUAAUGCGAAGGUCGCUGGUUCGAGCCCAGCCGGGACAG
rnacentral:tRNA from 3 species